rnacentral:hammerhead_ribozyme from 1 species
GUACUGCUGAUGAGUCCCAAACAGGACGAAACAGCUGUCCAAUGC